rnacentral:misc_RNA from 1 species
GCGAGUGGAAGGUUCGAGAAAUUUAGGCUAGUAAGAGUGAAGUUUGGGUAAAUUGGAGGCCUUUUAAGGUUAUCAAAAAAUAAAAUUAAAAAAAAAAAGAGUGAAAGUAAAAAAUUCACGAUCAGAUCUAAUACUGUAGAAACAACGCAAAAAACCCAAAAUUUUAUUGGUUGUUAAUGAGAUUGAAGGAGAAGGAGAAGAAGAAGAAUAA